rnacentral:rRNA from 1 species
GAUGAACGCUGGCGGCGUGCCUAAUACAUGCAAGUCGAGCGAACGGACCAGAAGUUUGUUGUUCUUAUGUUAGCGGCGGACGGGUGAGUAACACGUGGAUAACCUACCUAUAAGACUGGGAUAACUUCGGGAAACCGGAGAUUAUACCGGAUAAUAUUUUGAACCGCAUGGUUCAACAGUGGAUGACGGUCUUGCUGUCACUUGUAGGUGGUUCCGCGCUGCAUUAGCUAGUUGGUAAGGUAACGGCUUCCCAAGGCAACGAUGGAUAGCAGACCUGAGAGUGAGAGCGUGGACACUGGAACUGAGACAGGGUCCAGACUCCGACGGGAGGGAGCAGUAGGGAAGCGUCCGCUAGGGGCGAAAGCGUGACGGAGCGGCGCCGCGUGAGUGAGGAAGGUCUUCGGAUCGUAGAUGUCUGCUACUAGGGAAGAAGAUAUGGGUAAGUGACUGGGCGCAUCUUGACGGUACCGAAUCAGAAAGCCACGGCUAACUACGUG